GUGAACGCGAGGCCUUGAAGCUUACCCAUUGUUCUGUUGUUUCAGGUGCAACUUGUUGCGGAAACGCAGAGUAUUUCAACAAUCAAUCAUUGGAUUGGGCAUCUUACUCCAUGGCUGCACCUUAUUUUGGCAGGAAUAGGAUAGCAACUGCAUAUGAUCCGAAUUGUGUUAUGAUUGGAGCCGGGCAAGGAAGGGCCGUGCUGCCUCUGGAUGGCGAUCAAGGCGUUCCCAUGCUUGUCAACGCCAAACAGUACCACGCUAUUCUCAGGCGUCGUCAAACCAGAGCUAAACUCAUGGCUCAGAACAAGGUGGCAAGGACAAGAAAGCCAUAUCUCCA